GAUCCACUCUAGUCCAGAGGCACACAGGAGAUAUCAAAGUCAUAUGUGCAGCUCAAAUCACUUAACAGAACACUGUUUAUGAAAUCGCUCCAUUUUAUUCUUGGCUAGUUAUGUAGCUUACUGGACUGUGACAGAGAGACUUGCUCCAGACAUUCACAGAUCCUAGAUUUGUUUCCCAGAAGCAGUCCAAGGCAACCUGGUGCACACAGCUCAACGUUUCUCCUCAGGACUUCCCCACUAGCUAUUUCCUUACUUUGCUUGGCAGAAGACUCAUCAUUAACAUCUUGACAAAGAAAUGAAGGAAACAACUCAGUUCUAGAAAAUGCUUCCAGGUACAGAAAAAACAACCCAGUAAAACAUGUGUGGCAGAGAACAGCAGCAUCAGCCUCUCCUGGGAGAUAUUCUAGCUUCACAGAAAGCCUGAGGCAAAACUCAUUCAAAUUCUGAGGCAAUUCUCCCUUGAAAUGGGCCAUUCUUGACUCUACUUUUUAUGUGACUCUGGAAUUAAAGCAGAAUUUGUUGUCAUGAGGAUUGGAUGACUGAUGCUUUUUCACAAAAAGGAGCACAGAAUGGAAGCCGGCCAUGCCGUUGUUGCAAAUAUCACGCAUAACCAAAAAUAACAGCUGCUGUCCUGUGAUGAGCAUUUACUCUGUGACAGUCACCAUUCUAAGCUCUUCUCACAUGUGGCCUCAUUUCACAGUUGUAAUAAUCCUGGAGGCACUGUUUAAACCCACUUUAUAGGUGAGAUCAAGUUAGUGGCAGAACAAAGAUUCAGGCUUUGUCUCUGUUACUCUGACCUGUGUUCUUACUGCCUACUGAAUUGCAUCCCCUGAAUUACCUUCAUCCUUCAAACAGUUUUGUUCCUUUAAUUAAUUAAUUAAUUUCACAAAUGAACAA